rnacentral:rRNA from 1 species
AACACACUGGUAACCUACCUCUAAGUCAGGGAUAGCCCAUCGAAAGAUGGAUUAAUACCUGAUAGUCAUGCUGAAUAUAGGUUCAGUAUGUAAACCUUUCGGGCUUAGAGAGGGGCCUAUGGCUGAUUAGCUUGUUGGUGGGGUAAAAGCCUACCAAGGCUCUGAUCAGUAGCAGGCGUGAGAGCGUGAUCCGCCACACUGGUACUGAGACACGGCCCAG